ACUGGAAAGUGUAUCUAGGAUUA
rnacentral:rRNA from 1 species